AUUGAACGCUGGCGGCAUGCCUUACACAUGCAAGUCGAACGGCAGCACGGGAGCAAUCCUGGUGGCGAGUGGCGAACGGGUGAGUAAUAUAUCGGAACGUGCCCGGUCGUGGGGGAUAACGUAGCGAAAGCUACGCUAAUACCGCAUACGAUCUACGGAUGAAAGCGGGGGAUCGCAAGACCUCGCGCGAUUGGAGCGGCCGAUAUCAGAUUAGGUAGUUGGUGAGGUAAAGGCUCACCAAGCCGACGAUCUGUAGCUGGUCUGAGAGGACGACCAGCCACACUGGGACUGAGACACGGCCCAGACUCCUACGGGAGGCAGCAGUGGGGAAUUUUGGACGAAUGGGCGCAAGCCUGAUCCAGCAAUGCCGCGUGCAGGAUG
rnacentral:rRNA from 1 species